rnacentral:misc_RNA from 1 species
UGCUCACAACUGUACUAUGAUGGCUGUUGCAUUAAUUGGUGCUCAUCCUGCGUGUGUACUACCAAUUUACCUGUGAUAUUUUAGUUCUGGCAUCUGAUUCCUUUUCUUGUAUGGGCUAAAAUGUGCGUAGUUGGAGUGUCUUUUUUUUGGGUGGGUUUUUGGAGUAGGAUAUGGCUUGAAGUAUCAUUGCUUUCCAUGAAAGCUCUUGCACUCUGUCUUGCAUUUGAACCAAGAAUUUAACUACAAACAUUGCUGUCUGUUCACGGACAACAAAUUUCUGUUCCCUUUGAGUAAGUUUUCUAGGAAUUUCAAAGUAUUUUUUUUCCCUUAAUAUUCCUGAUUCAUGUUGAGAAUCUGUACAGCCAGUGUCCUCACCCCUAAUGUGUCUCAGUUAAUUGAAUUCAUAUAUUUGGCCUAAGUGUAGUUAAUAUCAUUGCAUCAUCUAUUACAGAUUUGACUGAUGUAGUAAAAUGCAGGUAUGAGCUGGUGCAGGCUGAUCU